UACGUAGGUGGCAAGCGUUGUCCGGAUUUACUGGGCGUAAAGAGCGCGCAGGCGGUCGUUCAAGUCGCGUGUGAAAGCCCCCGGCUCAACUGGGGAGGGUCACGCGAUACUGAUCGACUCGAAGGCAGGAGAGGGUAGUGGAAUUCCCGGUGUAGUGGUGAAAUGCGUAGAGAUCGGGUGGAACACCAGGGGCGAAGGCGGCAUCCUGGACCGACACUGACGCUGAGGAGCGAAAGCCAGGGGAGCAAAGCGGG
rnacentral:rRNA from 1 species